rnacentral:rRNA from 1 species
UACGUAGGGUGCAAGCGUUGUCCGGAAUUAUUUGGGCGUAAAGAGCGUGUAGGCGGUCAGGUAGGUCCGUUUGUGAAAACUCGAGGCUCAACCUCGAGACGCCGAUGGAAACCAUCUGACUAGAGUCCGGAAGAGGAGAGUGGAAUUCCUGGUGUAGCGGUGAAAUGCGCAGAUAUCAGGAAGAACACCCGUGGCUAAGGCGGCUCUCUAGUACGGUACUGACGCUGAGACGCGAAAGCGUGGGGAGCGAACAGG